CACUUUAAAUGUAUCGGGUUUACUCAAUUUUUAAAGUAAAGUCAACUAAUCACUUAAAAGCAUCAGUUUUACUCACAUUUUAAAGUAAAGUCAACUAAUUGAUUUAAUAGCAUGUGGUCUACUUUAAAAAUGUGGUCUACUUUUAAAAGUCAAUGAAUCACUUUUAAAGCAUCAGGUUUACUCACUUUUUAUAGUAUAAAGUCAACUAAUGGCUUUAAAAGAAACAGGUUUACUCAAUUUUUUAAGUAAAGUCAACUAAUCUCUUUGAAAUAAUCAAGUUUAUCCAAGUCGUUUUAAAAGCAUCUGGUUUACCUACUUUUUUAAAAGUAAGGUCACUUAACAACAGGCAUUUUUUAAAAGUAAAGUCAACUAUAAUCUGUCUGAAAGUAUUGCAUUUACUCACUUUAAAGUCCAGUAAUCCAUUUAAAAGUAACAGGUUUACUCUUACUCUUUAGAUCGACUAAUUGCUUUGUACAGUGUCGACUGGUCCAGAUAUUAAUUGAUUGACAUUCCCGCUCGCACUGAUUUUGCUCAUGUUGUCACAUACAGACUCGUACAGUUGACCUCACUCCGCUUCUGUCUUCCACCAAUGAUUUUUGUCUAGAUUUAGCUAGAUUUCAUAUAGAUAAUGUGGAUUAUUGUCUGUCUCUCUCUCUUCUUUUAUCCUGGUUUCGCUUUAGGUCAUUUAACCUUGUAGAUUCAAUGCAUAAUUGGAGUAUGUAAAUUAUAAACUCAUAUUUUUUAACCGGCAUUAUCCCAUCUGACUUUCUAUGACCCAAUCAGCAUUUUUUAAAUCACUUUGUGUCUGACUAUUAACAUGAUAAUGAUUUCACCUUUACUCUUACCUCACAAAACUGCCUUUUUACAAUCCCGUCCACUUUAUUUCAAGGCCAGAUGAUAUUCUACCUUUAUUUAUCUGCGUGUGUUUUCCUGCGUAUUGCCUAAGGAAUCAAAUGUAGGGGACGCAAUAAACUUUAUUUUUCUGUAAAUGUUGAACUGAUGUGCAAACACGAGCUCUGUUUAGCUGCCGGAUCGAUAUUUCUACCCUUUCUCAUGUGCCUGCGCUCGAAAAUAACCCGCAUUUCCUCCAUCAGGCUUCUCGAUUAUAUGGUUUACAGUUGUCAAACACAACAAAAAGCUGUACUUGUGUUUAAGUACGUUUCUCCUGUAUGCAUACACACAGAGCUGACCUUUAGGGGUCAAACUGUUUGACCUCUAGUGUGACCUGUGUCCGUCCUAGCUGGUGCUCACAUGCUUUAAAGCCUGAUUCAGGCCAUAGGGCUUCUAUUAAAGGGACAGUUCAGACAAAAAAAUGAAAACUUAAUUCAUUAAUUACCCACUCAAAUGAAACCCCUAAGACCUUCAGUGAGCUUCACACACAAAUGGAGAUACUUUAGAUGAAAUGCGAGAGCUCUCUGAUCAUCCGUAGACAGCAAGGAUAACAAAAUUUUGAUUUAUGAGACCUUUUAAAGUAGAGGAGACCAAUGUAAAUUGAUUUCCAUUUAUUACAAGAACAGUCCAGAAAGAAACUUUUGGUUUUAAAGAAAAUAGUUUAAAGAACCUGUGACUUUAACAAAAAUCAACUCUAAAGCUAAAUAAAUAAAUCAAUGAUUUAAUACUCAGUUGUUAAAGUGCUUUACAUUAUAAUCUUGUUUAAAAAGACAACAAAUCAUUAUAUUUAUUUUUUUGUUUCAUUUUCCAUUAAUAAUUACAAGAUGGAUCAUUUUUGAAGAAUUAUUCAGUGACUCAUUUCUGAUGGUUGUUUGCUGCCACCUAUUGGCUUGUCUAUGUAAUUGCUACAACCUUCACUUGGAGCAUUGAGUUGCUUUUAAAAGGUUAAUUUGAUCAUUUUAUAAUACCUAUAACCUUUACUAUUAACAUCAGUGUUUAUGUAUGAACACACUACACACUGUAACAGUUUUGUGCACUAAAGUCAACUAACUGAUUUAAAAGCAUCUGGUCUGCUCAGUUUUUAAAGUGAAGUCAGCGAAUCGCUUUAAAAGCAGCAGGUUUUCAUAUCUUUUUUAAAAUAAAAGUCAACUAAUCAAUUUAAAAGCAACAGGUUUACUCACUUUUUUAGAAAGAAACUUUCGGUUUUAAAGAAAAUAGCUUAUAUAACGUGUGAUUUGAACAAAAAUAAACUCCAAAUAAAUAACCGGCUAAAUAAAUAAAUGAUUUAAUACCCAGUUAUUAAAGUGCUUCAACAUUAUAUGGAUCAUUUUUAAUGAAUUAUUCAGUGACUCAUUUUUGAUGGUUGUUUGCCGCCACCUGUUGGCUUGUCUAUGUAAUUGCUACAACCUUCACUUGGAGCAUUAAGGAGCUUUUAAAAAGUUAAUUUGAUCAUUUUAUAACACUUGUAAUCUCCACCAUAAACAUCAGUGUUUAUGUAUGAACACACUACACACUGUAACAGUUUUGUCCACUAACUAGUAAAGUCAACUAACUGAUUUAAAAGCAUCUGGUCUGCUCAAUUUUUAAAGUGAAGUCAGCGAAUCGCUUUAAAAGCAGCAGGUUUUUUUAUCUUUUUAAAAUAAAAGUCAACUAAUCAAUUUAAAAGCAACAGGUUUACUCACUUUUUUAGAAAGAAACUUUCGGUUUUAAAGAAAAUAGCUUAUAUAAAGUGUGAUUUGAACAAAAAUAAACUCAAAAUAAAUAACCCGCUAAAUAAAUAAAUGAUUUAAUACUCAGUUGUUAAAGUGCUUUAACAUUAUAAACUUAUUAACAAAGACAAAAAAUCAUUAUUAUUAUUUUUUUGUCUCAUUUUCCAUUAAUAAUUACAAGAUGGAUCAUUUUUGAAGAAUUAUUCAGUGACUCAUUUCUGAUGGUUGUUUGCUGCCACCUAUUGGCUUGUCUAUGUAAUUGCUACAACCUUCAUUUGGAGCAUUAAGGAGCUUUUAAAAAGUUAAUUUGAUCAUUUUAUAACACUUGUAACCUUUACCAUAAACAUCAGUGUUUAUGUAUGAACACACCACACACUGGCCUACACACUGUAACAGAUUUGUCAACUAUAGUCAACUAACUGAUUUAAAAGCAUCUGGUCUGCUCAAUUUUUAAAGUGAAGUCAGCGAAUCGCUUUAAAAGCAGCAGGUUUUCUUAUCUUUUUUAAAAUAAAAGUCAACUAAUCAAUUUAAAAGCAACAGGUUUACUCACUUUCUUAGAAAGAAACUUUCGGUUUUAAAGAAAAUAGCUUAUAUAACGUGUGAUUUGAACAAAAAUAAACUCAAAAUAAAUAACCCGCUAAAUAAAUAAAUGAUUUAAUACUCAGUUGUUAAAGUGCUUUAACAUUAUAAACUUAUUAACAAAGACAAAAAAUCAUUAUUAUUAUUUUUUUAUUUUUAGUCUCAUUUUCUAUUAAUAAUUACAAGAUGGAUCAUUUUUGAAGAAUUAUUCAGUGACUCAUUUCUGAUGGUUGUUUGCUGCCACCUAUUGGCUUGUCUAUGUAAUUGCUACAACCUUCAUUCGGAGCAUUAAGGAGCUUUUAAAAAGUUAAUUUGAUCAUUUUAUAAUCUCUACCAUAAGCAUCAGUGUUUAUGUAUGAACACACUACACGCAGGGCUACACACUGUAUAGUUGUGUCGACCACACAUUCUUUUGUCAUCAUUUUAUUUGACAUUGAAGCCAAAAUGUGUGCGAUUCGAAUGACGAAGAUCCAGUUCUUCUGAGCAUGACUUGAAUUCAUUACUCAAAGCAAUAUCAGCAGAGAAAAAAAGUCAUUUUUUUCUGUGACCAUUAGAAAUUGUGGGAUUAAUCUAGAAAUUAAAGUUAUUAAUCUGCGUGUAACAAGCAGAAAACGACUUACGGAUUGCGCACACACUUAACCGAGAACAUUGUCAACACUGUUUAGGUGUCGUAAGUGGUUCAAUCAUCAUUUUAUAAAGCUCUGAUAACAUACAUGGACCGUUUUUAGAUGAAAUUCCUUCUAAAAUAUCUCAGUUUGUGUUUGAACAUGACUGGAUGUCUUGUAGGUUUGAAUAGGGAGAGUAAUUAAUGCCAGGGUGUUCAUUUUUGACUGAACUAUGCCUUUAAAAUAGUAAUUUCUCGCACUAAUCCACCCUAACAGGUCAUUAAAAUCAAAGUGCAUUGCGUUUGUUUUUCUCUCUCCACCUCUAUGGAACUGUUCUCACUUUACACAACUGUAGCACUUACUUUCUGAGCCUCCUGAAAUAUUAGACAUUUUAAACAAUCAUUGAAGCUGAGCUGCUAGAAAGGUGUCAUUAUGUUUAUGUGAAAAGUAUAUUUUUGAUCCUGUAAUUUUGGUUUGUUUUCUAUUCAACCAACAAUAAACAUAUUACACACCA